GCCAACGUCGCUCACUUCUAUAACGGACAAUCGAAAGAAGAUGGCCGCUUUCAUGAUGUUGGAAAGCCUUCGCUGGGAAGGGGACAUCAUUUUCAGUAGAAAAUGAGAUGCAUUUUAAGAAGUUAAAUUGGCACAGAGGUUGGCAAAGAAGUUUAAUUGAAAGCAUGUUAGGAGCGGCGUUGUUCCGAAAUCUGAGGGGCGGAGUCGACACGUAGAGCGGCUUUGCGCGUGCGCAUCAGCUAGGCGGUUAGAUUUGAAUACUUCUCUGAGUUUGGCUGGGCGUUGUGAGGUGACGUUUUUGCUGAAGAGCGCGCGGACCCCAAACAAGUUAAGCUGGUGGGCUGUGGCAGGAAAAAAAGUUUUCUUAAAAUAUGGAUGGGGUGUCUUCAGAGACUAAUGAAGAAAAUGACAAUAGAGAGAGACCUGUUAGAAGACGGCAUUCCUCAAUUUUGAAACCCCCAAGGAGUCCUCUUCAGGACCUCAGAAAUGGGAAUGAAAUAGUUCAGGUAAGUCUCUAGGCAAUUGCUUUAUAGAUUUCUCUUUUCAGUGAUUCUCCCCUACUCCAAGU